rnacentral:lncRNA from 1 species
AUUUCACAAGUUCAUCAUCUUUGAUCCCAAGUUAGAUUUUUGUUGAAACUGCCUUGACAUGAUGACAAUAUUCAACAUCAUAUUUAUCAACAACAUACGAUUAAUUAACAAUUCACCACCACAAGACAUCAUCAAACAAUUCAUAAAAAUAAAAAAAUAGCCCAAUAGUAGCUGAACAAUUCAUAAAAAUUAAAAAAUAAAAAUUUGCAACUCAUUACAGAAAAAUAGCCCAAUAGUGUAACAU